rnacentral:snRNA from 1 species
GGAUGUCUGGGCGAUCUGGCUGAGGCAUCCGUCACCUCAUUGACUACCAGGGUUGAUUCAGAUGAUCUGGUUGGCUAGGUUGAUGCCCCCUUCCUCUGUCACCAUUCCCUGUGUGUUUCUCCUGGAAGGAAUGUGCUCCAUUGAAGAGGAUGACCUUCCCUGAACAGAGAUCAACUGUUUGUUCUUCACUCUCUGGUUAAGUAUUGUUCAUCCUAUCUGAGUAGUUUCUUUCCUCUGCUAGAACCUGCAAACAAUCUAUAAAUAUCAAGGUUCAUUUGUAGAACAGAGAUUAGUGCUUCCAAGACUCUAGACAUAUUUUAAAAGAAAAGAAAAAUAAUAAAACACCUUA